UACGUAGGGUGCAAGCGUUGUCCGGAAUUAUUGGGCGUAAAGAGCUCGUAGGCGGUUUGUUGCGUCGGCUGUGAAAUCCCGAGGCUCAACCUCGGGUCUGCAGUCGAUACGGGCAAACUAGAGUGUUGCAGGGGAGACUGGAAUUCCUGGUGUAGCGGUGAAAUGCGCAGAUAUCAGGAGGAACACCGGUGGCGAAGGCGGUUCUCUGGGCAUUACCUGACGCUGAGGAGCGAAAGUGUGGGGAGCGAACAGG
rnacentral:rRNA from 1 species